CAGCCACCUUUAAAAAAACGUUAAAGCUUAAUUUAAUCUUAAAUAAAUCCCCCAAAUAACCAUGAACCCUUUUCCAUUACUGAAUGAUUUCAUAAUAUAUGAAAAACACCAUGCUAGAACUAGUAACAAGAAUAUAACAUUCUCCAAAAUGUAAGUGUAAACCAAAAUGGAUACUCCAUUGGCAGUUAACGAAAAUGAGUGACUUACAGCAACAUAAACAAGAAAAAUCUGUACUUUCCCAUCGUUAAUCUAACACUAGAACAUUCCCGGAAAGAUUAAAAGAAAAAGAAGGAAUUCGGCAAAUUUCAACCCCGCCUGUUUACCAAAAACAUCGCCUCUUGUUAAUAAUAAGAGGUCCAGCCUGCCCAGUGACAUAGUUCAACGGCCGCGGUACCCUAACCGAGCGAAGGUAGCAUAAUCACUUGUUCUUUAAAUAAGGACUUGUAUCAAUGGCAUCACGAGGGUCGUACUGUCUCCUUUCUCCAAUCAGUGAAACUGAUCCUCCCGUGAAAAAGCGGGGAUAUACAUAUAAGACGAGAAGACCCCAUGGAGCUUUAAACCUCCAGCAACUUAACUAUAAAUUUCUUCAUAGCCCCUAAAGAAAUGCCUGUUGGUUUUAGGUUGGGGUGACCACGGAGUAAAAACUAACCUCCACAACGCAUAAACCUAAAUUUUUAUUUAAGAGUCACAACUCUAAAAAAUAGCAUACUAACGUACACUGAUCCGAUAAUCGAUUAAUGAACCAAGUUACCCUGGGGAUAACAGCGCAAUCUAUUUUAAGAGUUCAUAUCGACAAAUAGGCUUACGACCUCGAUGUUGGAUCAGGGUAUCCCAGUGGUGCAGCCGCUACUGAUGGUUCGU
rnacentral:rRNA from 1 species